rnacentral:rRNA from 1 species
UACGUAGGGUGCAAGCGUUAAUCGGAAUUACUGGGCGUAAAGCGUGCGCAGGCGGCUUUGCAAGACAGAUGUGAAAUCCCCGGGCUUAACCUGGGAACUGCAUUUGUGACUGCAUGGCUGGAGUGCGGCAGAGGGGGAUGGAAUUCCGCGUGUAGCAGUGAAAUGCGUAGAUAUCUGGAGGAACACCGGUGGCGAAGGCGGCAUCCUGGACCAACACUGACACUGAGGAGCGAAAGCCAGGGGAGCAAACGGG